UACGGGGGGGGCAAGCGUUGUUCGGAAUUACUGGGCGUAAAGGGCUCGUAGGCGGCCAACUAAGUCAGACGUGAAAUCCCCAGGCUCAACCUGGGAACUGCGUCUGAUACUGGAUGGCUUGAAUUCGGGGGAGGGAUGCGGAAUUCCAGGUGUAGCGGUGAAAUGCGUAGAUAUCUGGAGGAACACCGGUGGCGAAGGCGGCAUCCUGGACCGAUACUGACGCUGAGGAGCGAAAGCCAGGGGAGCAAACGGG
rnacentral:rRNA from 1 species